ensembl:lncRNA
GAAGCAGCCGGUUUCUACAGGAUGCGCUCCAGGCGCGGAAGUCUGACCUCAGAAACGUGGGGGAGGGAGUGGAAGCACAUGGUCCGGCUGGAGGUUUACUACUUUUAUUAAUCAUCUCGGAGAACAAGCGUUCCUGUCAAUAUUCUGCACUCUCUUCUCCACCACGACGGACUUGGGCUCUCACACGUGCUGUGGUCUCCUCUGCUCUCUUGGUUUCCGAAGGCGAGUGCUGAGGACACGUGACUCUUGCCCUGCUGGAGGUCUUUAGUGCUUCAGCUGUGCCUCCGUCUCCCCAUCAAAGACCAUGAACUCCUGCACCAAGCAUGUCUCCCCACUUGGCUGAUUUACUUCGGAGGUCGCUUGUCUGUAACCCAUCGCGGUUCACCUGCAGUCGCAUGGGGUCUUCACCCCCAGUGGGUGAAGCCUUCUAAGUCAGCAGCUUCUCUCCUGUAACCGGGUGGCGCGUGCUGGCAGCUGGCUCCUGGGUGUAGUUCUCCGUCUGGCCUCGAGGACUCGCAGGAAGGACGCACAGAUCUGAUCCUGAGAGCGGCCUCAACGCCAGCCCACAGCUGGCCCCACGUUCUGGCCACGGAGGGGCCCUGGAUGCAUGCCUGGAAACACCGCUGGAGGCCACAGCCCACCAGUGUAGACAUCGGCAAAGAGAGAUGUCCCCUGAGCCAGGCUCAGGGGCCGAGGUGCUGACGUGCUCACGUGCCCACACCGUGCCAACAGGCUCUGAGACUGAACCUCAGGGAAUAUGACUGACCGUGUCACCCACCAGCUCUCACCCUCAUCUGCCCUGUCUGCAAAGACACCUCCCCGCCCUGCUCCUCCCUCUGCGAGCCCUAGGGCGUUUCUCUAACAAAACUCGUCUACUGACCCCCAGGACACUGCGAUGACUCAGCUUCAAAACGAGACACAGACACGUGAGACUACUUGUGGUC